GUCUGAUUCAGCCAUGCCAACUGAGGUUACCAAAGCAUUGGACGCAACAGGAUCGGAUUCAAACAUUCCAACUGACGUUACCACAGCAUGGAACGCAACAGCUCCGAGUUGGCAAUCAAUCGUUAGAACUGAAGCCACCACACCAAUAAAUGCAUCAU